GUAAUAGUGUAAAACUAGCUCAUAUUCCGGUAGUCGGGACUGAGAGGUCGAUCGACCACAUUGGGUCUGAAAAAAGCCCACGGCAUAUUGUACAGCAGUGGGGAAUAUUGGUCAAUAGCCUAACGGCUGAACCAGCAAUUUGGAAGAAUGAAAAACGAAUAAGUCGUAUAAAAUUCUAGGUAGAAAAAGGAUUUUGACUAAAUUCUAUCUAUAAGUCUUGGCCAAAUUACGUGCCAGCAGUCGCGGUAAUACGUAGAAGACUAGUGUUAUUCAUCUUUAAAAGGUUUAAAGGGUACCUAGACGGAAAAUCAAGCCAUAAUAGGGACUAAUUUUCUAGAGUUUUAUGAGAGAAGAUAGAAUUUUCGGAGGAGAGAUAAUAUCCGUUGAUACUGGAGAGACUGGUAACGGCGAAGGCGACCUUCUAUGUAAAAACUGACGUUGAGGGACGAAGCCUUGGGUAACGAGAAGGAUUCGACACCCUAGUAGUCCUUGGAGACAAUUAUGAAUGUCAUAGGCUAGAUCAAUUUAGUCUAUAAAUGAAAGUGUAAGCAUUCCACCUCAUGAGUAAAGCGGCAACGCUCAAAUUGAAAUCAUUAGACCGUAUCUGAAACCAGUAGUGAAGUAUGUUAUUUAAUUCGAUGAUCCGCGAAUAACCUUACCACGCAUUGAAUAUUAUUUAAUUAUUACAAGUGUUGCACGGCUGUUUUUAGUUAAUGUCGUGAGAUUAAGGUUAACACCUAUAAUUAACGCAAACCCUUGCUUUAUUUAUUUUUAUAAAGUAGUUCUCCGUUUAUAUUGGAUAGAUAAAAGGGACUAAGACAAGUCAUCAUGGCCUUAAUGG
rnacentral:rRNA from 1 species